UACAGAGGGGGCAAGCGUUGUUCGGAAUUACUGGGCGUAAAGGGCGCGUAGGCGGCCGCCUAAGUCAGACGUGAAAUCCCUCGGCUCAACCGGGGAACUGCGUCUGAUACUGGGUGGAUUGAAUCCGGGAGAGGGAUGCGGAAUUCCAGGUGUAGCGGUGAAAUGCGUAGAUAUCUGGAGGAAUACCGGUGGCGAAGGCGGCAUCCUGGACCGGCAUUGACGCUGAGGAGCGAAAGCCAGGGGAGCAAACGGG
rnacentral:rRNA from 1 species